UACGUAGGUGGCAAGCGUUAUCCGGAUUUACUGGGUGUAAAGGGCGUGUAGGCGGGAAAGCAAGUCAGAUGUGAAAACCAUGGGCUCAACCUGUGGCCUGCAUUUGAAACUGUUUUUCUUGAGUACUGGAGAGGCAGACGGAAUUCCUAGUGUAGCGGUGAAGUGCGUAGAUGUUAGGAGGAACACCAGUGGCGAAGGCGGUCUGCUGGACAGCAACUGACGCUGAGGCGCGAAAGCGUGGGGAGCAAACAGG
rnacentral:rRNA from 1 species